GAUGAACGCUGGCGGCGUGCCUAAUACAUGCAAGUCGAACGAAACUUCUUUAUCACCGAGUGCUUGCACUCACCGAUAAAGAGUUGAGUGGCGAACGGGUGAGUAACACGUGGGCAACCUGCCCAAAAGAGGGGGAAAACACUUGGAAACGGGUGUUAAUACCCCAUAACCUUAGUUACCCCUGGGAACCAUGGUAAAGGGUGGUAUUCUUACCGUUUUUGGUGGGGCCCGCGGCGCAUUAGCUAGUUGGUAGGGUAAAGGCUUACCAAGGCAAUGAUGCGUAGCCGAAUUGAGAGGUUGAUCGGCCACAUUGGGACUGAGACACGGCCCAAACUCCUACGGGAGGCAGCAGUAGGGAAUCUUCCACAAAGGGCGAAAGCCUGAUGGAGCAACGCCGCGUGGGUGAAGAAGGUCUUCGGAUCGUAAAACCCUGUUGUUAGAGAAGAAAGUGCGUGAGAGUAACUGUUCACGUUUCGACGGUAUCUAACCAGAAAGCCACGGCUAACUACGUG
rnacentral:rRNA from 1 species